UAAGGAAUAUUGCACAAUGGGCGCAAGCCUGAUGCAGCAACGCCGCGUGCAGGAUGAAGGCUUUCGGGUUGUAAACUGCUUUUAUGAGGGACGAGCAAGGACGGUACCUCACGAAUAAGUCUCGGCUUACUACGUGCCAGCAGCCGCGGUAACACGUAGGAGACGAGCGUUAUCCGGAUUUACUGGGCGUAAAGCGCGGGUAGGUGGGGUCUUAAGUCAUGCGUGAAAGCUCUCGGCUUAACCGGGAGAGGUCGUGUGAAACUGGGGCUCUCAGAGGUAGGUAGAGGCAGAUGGAAUUCCGGGUGGAGUGGUGAAAUGCGUAGAGAUCCGGAGGAACACCAGUGGCGAAGGCGAUCUGCUAGGCCUGACCUGACACUCAGACGCGACAGCAUGGGGAGCGAACGGGAUUAGAAACCCCGGUAGUCCAUGCCGUAAACGAUGCAUACUAGACGUUAGGGAGCAUA
rnacentral:rRNA from 1 species